rnacentral:rRNA from 1 species
CACGUAGGGUGCGAGCGUUGUCCGGAAUUAUUGGGCGUAAAGAGCUCGUAGGCGGUGUGUCGCGUCGGCCGUGAAAACUCACAGCUCAACUGUGGGCGUGCGGGCGAUACGGGCAGACUGGAGUACUGCAGGGGAGACUGGAAUUCCUGGUGUAGCGGUGGAAUGCGCAGAUAUCAGGAGGAACACCGGUGGCGAAGGCGGGUCUCUGGGCAGUAACUGACGCUGAGGAGCGAAAGCGUGGGGAGCGAACAGG